CACGUAGGGUGCAAGCGUUGUCCGGAAUUAUUGGGCGUAAAGAGCUCGUAGGCGGUCUGUUGCGUCGGCUGUGAAAACCCGGGGCUCAACUCCGGGCCUGCAGCCGAUACGGGCAGACUAGAGUUCGGCAGGGGAGACUGGAAUUCCUGGUGUAGCGGUGAAAUGCGCAGAUAUCAGGAGGAACACCGGUGGCGAAGGCGGGUCUCUGGGCCGAUACUGACGCUGAGGAGCGAAAGCGUGGGGAGCGAACAGG
rnacentral:rRNA from 1 species